AUUGAACGCUGGCGGCAGGCCUAACACAUGCAAGUCGAGCGAGCGGCGGACGGGUGAGUAAUGUAUGGGGAUCUGCCCGAUAGUGGGGGAUAACUACUGGAAACGGUGGCUAAUACCGCAUACUAUCGGAUGAACCUCAAUGGGUUUAGCUAGUUGGUGGGGUAAAGGCGCACCUCGUCGACGAGCUCUAGCUGGUCUGUGAGGAUGAUCAGCCACACUGGGACUGAGACACGGCCCCUGCUCCUACGGGAGGCAGCAGGGGGACAUAUUGCACAAUGGGCGCACACCUGAUGCAGCCAUGCCGCGUGUAUGAAGAAGGCCUUCGGGUUGUAAAGUACUUUCAGCGGGGAGGCGUUACCCGCAGAAGAAGCACCGGCGAACUCCGUGCCAGCAGCCGCGGUAAUUC
rnacentral:rRNA from 1 species